rnacentral:rRNA from 1 species
UACGGGGGGGGCAAGCGUUGUUCGGAAUUACUGGGCGUAAAGCGUGCGUAGGUGGUGAGUUAAGUCUGUCGUGAAAGCCCCGGGCUCAACCUGGGAAUGGCGAUGGAUACUGGCUCGCUAGAGUGCGGUAGAGGAGAGUGGAAUUCCCGGUGUAGCAGUGAAAUGCGUAGAGAUCGGGAGGAACAUCAGUUGCGAAGGCGGCUCUCUGGACCAGCACUGACACUGAGGCACGAAAGCGUGGGGAGCAAACAGG